UAGGGAAUCUUCGGCAAUGGACGAAAGUCUGACCGAGCAACGCCGCGUGAGUGAAGAAGGUUUUCGGAUCGUAAAACUCUGUUGUUAGAGAAGAACAAGGACGUUAGUAACUGAACGUCCCCUGACGGUAUCUAACCAGAAAGCCACGGCUAACUACGUGCCAGCAGCCGCGGUAAUACGUAGGUGGCAAGCGUUGUCCGGAUUUAUUGGGCGUAAAGCGAGCGCAGGCGGUUUCUUAAGUCUGAUGUGAAAGCCCCCGGCUCAACCGGGGAGGGUCAUUGGAAACUAGGAGACUUGAGUGCAGGAGAGGGGGGUGGAAUUCCAUGUGUAGCGGUGAAAUGCGUAGAUAUAUGGAGGAACACCAGUGGCGAAGGCGGCUCUCUGGUCUGUAACUGACGCUGAGGCUCGAAAGCGUGGGGAGCAAACAGG
rnacentral:rRNA from 1 species